UGUCAGGUGGGCAGUUUGACUGGGGCGGUCGCCUCCUAAAGAGUAACGGAGGCGCCCAAAGGUUCCCUCAGAAUGGUUGGAAAUCAUUCGUAGAGUGCAAAGGCAUAAGGGAGCUUGACUGCGAGACCUACAAGUCGAGCAGGGACGAAAGUCGGGCUUAGUGAUCCGGUGGUUCCGCAUGGAAGGGCCAUCGCUCAACGGAUAAAAGCUACCCCGGGGAUAACAGGCUUAUCUCCCCCAAGAGUCCACAUCGACGGGGAGGUUUGGCACCUCGAUGUCGGCUCAUCGCAUCCUGGGGCUGUAGUCGGUCCCAAGGGUUGGGCUGUUCGCCCAUUAAAGCGGUACGCGAGCUGGGUUCAGAACGUCGUGAGACAGUUCGGUCCCUAUCCGUCGUGGGCGUAGGAAAUUUGAGAGGAGCUGUCCUUAGUACGAGAGGACCGGGAUGGACGCACCGCUGGUGUACCAGUUGUUCUGCCAAGGGCAUAGCUGGGUAGCUAUGUGCGGAAGGGAUAAGUGCUGAAAGCAUCUAAGCAUGAAGCCCCCCUCAAGAUGAGAUUUCCCAUAGCGUUAAGCUAGUAAGAUCCCUGAAAGAUGAUCAGGUUGAUAGGUU
rnacentral:rRNA from 1 species